GAGGGUAUAGCUCAGUGGUGGAGUGCAUGCUUAGCAUGCAUGAGGUCAGGGGUUCGAUCCCCCACACUUCCG
rnacentral:tRNA from 1 species